rnacentral:rRNA from 1 species
CUCGUCUGUUUAGCAAAAACAUAUCCUGGUGGGAAGAUACCAGGUGAGCCCUGCCCAGUGAAGCAUUUAACGGCCGCAGUACCCUGACUGUGCUAAGGUAGCGUAAUCAGUUGGCUUUUAAAUGGAGUCGAGAAUGAAUGGGUUAAUGGGGAGAGGCUGUCUCUACGUGGAAUUAUUGAAUUUAUUUAGUGGGUGAAAAUACCCAUCUAUAGAAAAAAGACGAGAAGACCCUAAGAAUCUUAACGAAUUAGGCUAAUAUCAGCCUCCAGUUCUUGUUGGGGCGACAGCGAGGCAGGCUAAUUCUUGACAACCCUCGUAAUAAUAAAAAACAGGACAAAAUUGCUAAGACAGAGUAGAUUACCUUAGGGAUAACAGCAUAAUUUUUAAAAGUUUGUGACCUCGAUGUUGGACUAGGGCCCCUACGACUAGCCGUCGUAACGGCGAGAUCUGUUCGAUCUUCUUCCCCUACAUGAUCUGAGUUCAGACCGGAG